UGACAGGAUAUUUACAAAUGAUACAUAGUAUUCAAUUUAAUAUCUCUUAUGAAUAAGUAUGACGUAUAAUAACUACUAAUUUAAAUUAUAGUGAGACAAAAUUGAUUUAGCUUGGUGGUGAUGCGGGGAUGUGGAUCUGUUUUGAUCCUAUAGGAAGCCGAGAAGGCUGGCGUGCUUCUAUUUUAUUCUUCAUAUUUCUUUAUUGGACAUCUUUUGGUAUUGAUGGCAGUUUAACAAAUGCAGCUACAUCUAAUGUCCCCCAUAAUACUGUUACUCCAGAAGUAUCACUACCAGUUUCAACACACCAUAAAGACGACGAAUGUAGGAAUGUGACCACAGACAAUAGAGCUGCUACUGGUUUGUCAGUGGUCAGUCAAGGAUCUGGAUCUCCUCAUUCGCCGAUAGUGCCUCCAACUUUUCUGUACAGAGUUCUUACCUGCCAACCUUAUCAAGGAAUUUCUGUGAACCACAUCUAUUUUCAACUAGCAAAUGUCUUCUUUCUAUUGUCACAUCUUGCACCAAGUGGCAUACAUGGUGUACUUUAUUUAAGGUGCACUCUGCUCGUGGGCUGUGCCUUUCUUGCUUUGUGGGGCUGGACAAUAGUUUGUUGGCUGGACGCUGCUCUCUGGAAUGCUCUGUUUGUUGCCAUCAACUUCGUCCAUGUAUGCACGCUUCUUUACAAGCUCAGGCCUAUCAAGUUUUCAAGGGAAGUUGAAGAGGUAUAUAUUGCAGUGUUCCAGCCAUUAAGAGUAUCACGUCAUCAGUUUAAAAGAGUAUUAAAUUGUAUGAAAGUUAUUCGACAGUUGAAGUAUCAAGAAGUUUAUGCCCAAGAAAAAGUGACCAAAGUUGAUUCUUUAUCUUUGGUACUUUCUGGAAGGUUAGUAGUAUCGCAAAAUGGAAGAGCAUUGCAUAUUGUCUUCCCACAUCAGUUCCUGGAUUCUCCAGAAUGGUUUGGUGUCUCCACGGAUGAGUACUUUCAGGUAUCAAUAACAGCUAUGGAAGAAUCAAGAAUAUUAUUGUGGCAUAGAGACAAGUUAAAGUUAAGCAUAAUUAGUGAUCAAUUUCUGCAGGCAGUGUUUGAUCAUAUUUUGGGAAGGGAUGUAGUAAAAAAAUUGCUGCAGGUUAGUGAAACAAUGGCUGCUAGCAGUCAUCAACAACAAAAUGGACAAGUAAUUGGUUUAGGUGGUAUUGGACCCUUAGAAAAUGAUCCUGACACCAAACUCUUCGUUGUGAAAAAGACUGGUGACAGUCAAGGUAUUACUGCUCUCAUCAGUCGUCAACUUCAAGAAGAAAGAGUGCCGCUGCUGUACACGACUCAGGAAAUGCUGAACAACACUUUGCAUCAUAUUAAUCACCUACGUACACCUCCCUUACAUCCUGUGCAAUGCAACAAUGUUCAGUCUUCCCUGUAAUAUUCCCGUGACACAAACUGUGCAAUUAUUUAGCACAAAUUUGUACGUGAUAUAUGUUAUGUUUCUGCAAUGGAUAUUCAUAUAGUUACACAAAUAUCAUGGGGUAACUUCAUUUAUUUUCUUCUGGUUAUUGUAUUCAGCAGGAGAUCCAAAUGCAUGGAGAUUGGGAAGAAUCGAAGAGACUGAUCAUGAAACACCUGU